rnacentral:rRNA from 1 species
UACAGAGGGGGCAAGCGUUAUUCGGAAUUAUUGGGCGUAAAGGGCGCGUAGGCGGCUUGGCAAGUGGAUGGUGAAAUCCCUCGGCUUAACCGAGGAACGUGCCGUCCAAACUGCUUCGCUUGAGACCGGGAGAGGUGAGUGGAAUUCCCAGUUGUAGCGGUGAAAUGCGUAGAUAUUGGGAGGAACACCAGUGGCGAAGGCGGCUCACUGGACCGGUACUGACGCUGAUGCGCGAAAGCGUGGGGAGCAAACGGG